GGGUCAGUAGGUUGGUCGUGCCACCGGUACGUACUGGUCUCACUGACUCCUCCUUCCUGAAGAACCGUAAUGCCAUUAAUUUGGUGUUGUGGGGAAACAGGACUGUUACUUUGGAAAAAUUAGAGUGUUUAAAGCAAGCUAACGCUUGAAUACAUUAGCAUGGAAUAAUGAAAUAGGACGAUCGAUCCUAUUUUGUUGGUUUCUAGGAUUGACGUA
rnacentral:rRNA from 1 species